rnacentral:rRNA from 1 species
AACGAACGCUGGCGGCAUGCCUAACACAUGCAAGUCGAACGCUUGGGCUUCGGCCCGAGAGUGGCGCACGGGUGAGUAACGCGUGGGAACCUGCCCUGGAGUGGGGGAUAACCGAGGGAAACCUCGGCUAAUACCGCAUACGUCCUUUGGGAGCGAUCCUGGGGGAGAAAGAUUUAUCGCUCGAGGAGGGGCCCGCGUCGGAUUAGCUAGUUGGUGGGGUAACGGCCCACCAAGGCGAUGAUCCGAGCUGGUCUGAGAGGAUGAUCAGCCACACUGGGACUGAGACACGGCCCAGACUCCUACGGGAGGCAGCAGUGGGGAAUAUUGGACAAUGGGCGCAAGCCUGAUCCAGCAAUGCCGCGUGAGUGAUGAAGGCCUUAGGGUUUGGUAAAGACUCUUUCGUCACGCGACGAUGAUGACGGUAGCGUGAGAAGAAGCCCGGCUAACUUCGUG